GACGAACGCUGGCGGCGUGCUUAACACGUGCAAGUCGAACGGAAAGGCCCUGCUUUUGUGGGGUGCUCGAGUGGCGAACGGGUGAGUAACACGUGAGUAACCUGCCCUUGACUUUGGGAUAACUUCAGGAAACUGGGGCUAAUACCGGAUAGGAGCUCCUGCUGCAUGGUGGGGGUUGGAAAGUUUCGGCGGUUGGGGAUGGACUCGCGGCUUAUCAGCUUGUUGGUGGGGUAGUGGCUUACCAAGGCUUUGACGGGUAGCCGGCCUGAGAGGGUGACCGGCCACAUUGGGACUGGGAUACGGCCGAGACUCCUACGGGAGGCAGCAGUGGGGAAUAUUGCACAAUGGGCGGAAGCCUGAUGCAGCAACGCCGCGUGCGGGAUGACGGCCUUCGGGUGGUAAACCGCUUUCGCCUGUGACGAGGCGUGAGUGACGGUAAUGGGUAAAGAAGCACCGGCUAACUACGUG
rnacentral:rRNA from 1 species